rnacentral:lncRNA from 1 species
GGCGGGCUCGGUGCCGCUCUGCUGGUGCCGGAAGGGCAGCACCUUCCCAACCAAGGGAGCAGCAGGAGCACUCCUGGUGUUCCCUUUGGGAUCUGGGGCUGCUUUGGGAUCCUCGGGCAUGGGGGAGGCGUAGGAGUGCUCGGCUGAGAUGAUGGAGUGCGAGUUCACCUCGCAGGCCUGCGGAGCUUGGCGGGGAGGAAAGGCCUGGAAUAGGGCGGGGAUGGGAACCCCGCUGCUCCCGCUGAAAAUUCCAGAGGUUUUUUCCCUGGGAAGAGAGGCCAGCUGGCUGGAAUCUGUUUGCUCAGGAAGUGGCUGGCUCAGGGAUACCUUGCUGGAAGUGGAUUUUUUGCCCUGCUUGUCUGCCCUGUGGUAUUUGUGGUCGGAGGACACGCGCAGGGAUUUGGGGUCGGAAGGGCUCUGCUGAUCCCAGGAAUCCCCGCAUUCCGCAGGGACCACCCCAGGAUCCUUGGGAAUAAAGGCAGGAAGGCAGGAGCCCAGGGCCAGGUCAGCCAGCAGGUUCAGGGCGUGGGAGUCACUGUUGUCCCCUGGCAGGGCAAAGGCAACGCUGGGAAUUGCCAUGGGCUCGUUGGAACUGCCCGUGGAUCCCGGUUUUUUGGGACAGGAGGAAGCGACGUUGCUUUUUUUCUUGGCUGCCUCCCUGCUCCUGCUGCUGUUCCCCCCAGGAUGUGUUUGUGCCUUGAGGGGUGACACGCUCUUCCCCAGGAUCCUGCUGGAUUUCCUCCUGAGCUCCCGACCCCAGGGCUUGAUGGGAGAGGUGACACUUUUCAGGAAUCUCUCCGAAGCAGGACUGGGAAGCUCUCCCUUAUCCUGCAUUGUUCCUGUGGCUCUGGUGGAAGGAGCAGGAUUUGGGGGCACUGAGGAGGAAGAGGAGGAGGAGGAAUUCCCAGGAGCAGCUCCCACAUUGCUGCCAGCCCCACAGAGACACUGCAAGGCUGCUGAGAUGCCCAGGGUGAAGCUGCCGGGGUCGGAGAGGUAACGGCGCAGCCGGGCCAGGGAUUGCUCCGAGAGCUUCUGGGCAGGGCCAGCGUCCCCAUCCUGCUCUGGAGAGGGGACAGGACCCCUGGGAAUGUCACUGCCCUGCCCAGGGCUGCCCUGAGAGCUUCCCUGGAGCUCUGCAUACUCCUGGAGGUGCUCCUGGAUGCGGGGGCUGCCUGGGGCGCUGCAGGAGGAAGCGGCCGCUCUGCGCAGGGCGUAGCGGAGCCCCGGCAGGACGGAGGCGAUCCUCAGGGAGAUGGCACUGCUGGCACUGCUGGCACUGCUGGCACUGCUGGCACUGCUGGCACUGCCAUCCUGGCUGUCCCUGGGCUCCUGCUGAUCCUCUGGAAAGGAAAAGCAAAAUGGGGUGACCCAGCCAGCAAAGGGGGAAAUCACUGGAGGGUUUGCAUGGG